CCGCCAGCCUGUGGGGAGGGGGGGGACACUGGCAUGGCCGAGAGGGGCUGCCACCAAGGAACUGCUUUAGGAAACUCCAAGCAACUUACUAUCCAAGAGUUAAAAUAAUCGCAUUUAAUUAAAAACAAUAAAAGCAGCCAUUUAAAACCAGCUCCUUGGGCCUGACUGACUGACAUGAAACUUCCAGACCAAACCACAGAAGACAGACACACAUCAUUUUCAUAGAGACCAUGAGACACGAAAGACUGGGAAAGAGAUCAGAACCAAGAGAGCUGAAAGAGAUCAGUACCAGGACAUCUGUAGGAGAGAUGACCCUGCACCCACGGUCUCACUCAGCCCGAUUCCUGAGCAGGAAGGAAGUUAAGGGCUCCUGGAAGGAUGGAGGAGUCUCCUGUCUGCCUGACUUCUGUUGCUUGUUCUGGCUUAGAGUGAGUGAAUGAGGCUUCUUUAAACAACAGAGACUUCUUUUGAAUUUGAGCGAUAGGAUCAUAAUGUACUAUGGCUGUAUUGUUUGAUACUUGGCUGUACAUUUCCCAUCUGGUGGAUGGGAAAGUGAAAUACGGGUUGGGGGGGGCACUAUUCCUUGCUACACUUUGGAAUCACCCCUGCCAGUCACCAAAAUCCAUGACAGAGAAUAAUGUUCAGCACUACUUCAGUUUGACUAUUAGGGAACACAUGCAUGCUUUCUCAUACACUUCUGGACCCCAUUCCAGCCAGCCAUGAAUACACAGCUCACACCCAUUCCUGCACCCCUCUCUGCUAGCCAUUCACACAGAAGUCUAGACAGUUGUCCUGCUGGCCUGGGACUCUUUGUACAGGGUGGAAUAGAGGUGCAGCAAUAGCACAAUGGCAGAUACUCUGGCCUAAUUGUUCUGCAGCCACCACCAUUACUCCACUACCAGCAUACCCUUCCUCUCCUACCAGCCACUACUGCUUUUGGCAGCUAACUGACCUGCAAAAUGUAGUUAAAUCAGGCUUCCCCAACCUGCGGCUAGGGGUGUGCAAUUCGGGUUUUCAGUGAUUCAGUUCGGGACCUGAACCGAAUCACCCCCAUUCUGUUCUGUGCCCAAAUAUGGGCUACCCAAAUCACCCCUGAUUCGGUUCGGAUUCGGAUUAAAUCGGAUUAAAUUCGGAUUAAAUCCGAAUCCGAAUCGAUUCGGGUAAAAAAAACGGGUCCCAGGGGCAAAAUAGUGGGGUGAGGUGGUAGUGCCCAAUGGGUGGAGGUUACCACCCCAAUUGCAGAGGGAUUGGGCAGAGGGCUGAUUUUUGGUGAAUUUCUGGAGUUUAUGCGUCUUUAAGGUUUUCCCCCAUGAAGGGUGUAUUGCUUCACGUCGGGGGGAAAGGGGUGUCCUAGUGCCGGGUGGGGUUGGUGGUAGUGCCGGGUAGGGGCAAGGAAGCUACCUGAAUUUUUUCAAAAGAUUUUGGCAGAGGGCUGAUUUUUGGCAAAUUGUUGAAGUUCACGCGUCUUUAAGGUUUUUCCUCAUCCUAUAUAAUAAAAGGCUAAGUGAGUGGCCGUGGCUUUGGAACG